rnacentral:rRNA from 1 species
UUAUGCACCAUUAGCAGCCAUAAUGCCUGCAGCUCAGACUAGGUAACCAGAAGCUACGCAGGUUAGGGCCUGGCCAGUACUUGGAGGGGAGACCAACUAGGAAAGCUGGGUUGGUGCUAGAA